rnacentral:rRNA from 1 species
GACGAACCGUGCGAACGUUGUUCGGAAUCACUGGGCUUAAAGGGCGCGUAGGCGGGUUCUCAAGUCAGGGGUGAAAGCCCGCGGCUCAACCGCGGAAGCGCCUUUGAUACUGGGGACCUCGAGGGGGGUAGGGGCGUGCGGAACUUCCGGUGGAGCGGUGAAAUGCGUAGAUAUCGGAAGGAACACCGGUGGCGAAAGCGGCGCGCUGGACCCCUUCUGACGCUGAGGCGCGAAAGCCAGGGGAGCAAAC